GAAUACUGAACGAAACAAACAAUUUGAGAAAAAAACAAUAUCAUUCACCCUCGGUUCAUAAACAAUUUGACAGUAGGAGAUCAUGUCCGACCAGUGAAUUUGGUUCAUCUAGCAAGACACCAACUGUUUCAGAAAGGAGAAGACAAUCUCUAAACCGACUAUGGAUGUUGAACAAUUUUGUGAUAAAAUAAAGAAAUAGUUUUCACAAGUGUUUAAGGAUUGGGAGGAACAAAUCAGAAAUACCAGAGCAACACGUCCAUCCUUAUGAGUAUCAAACCAAG
rnacentral:lncRNA from 1 species